UAAUACGUAGGGUGCAAGCGUUAAUCGGAAUUACUGGGCGUAAAGCGUGCGCAGGCGGCUUUGCAAGACAGAUGUGAAAUCCCCGGGCUUAACCUGGGAACUGCAUUUGUGACUGCAUGGCUGGAGUGCGGCAGAGGGGGAUGGAAUUCCGCGUGUAGCAGUGAAAUGCGUAGAUAUGCGGAGGAACACCGAUGGCGAAGGCAAUCCCCUGGGCCUGCACUGACGCUCAUGCACGAAAGCGUGGGGAGCAAACAGGAUUAGAUACCCUGGUAGUCCACGCCCUAAACGAUGUCAACUGGUUGUUGGACGGCUUGCUGUUCAGUAACGAAGCUAACGCGUGAAGUUGACCGCCUGGGGAGUACGGCCGCAAGGUUG
rnacentral:rRNA from 1 species